CCUACGGGAGGCAGCAGUGGGGAAUAUUGGACAAUGGGGGGAACCCUGAUCCAGCGACGCCGCGUGAGUGAAGAAGUAUUUCGGUAUGUAAAGCUCUAUCAGCAGGGAAGAAAAUGACGGUACCUGACUCAGAAGCCCCGGCUAACUACGUGCCAGCAGCCGCGGUAAUACGUAGGGGGCACGCGUUAUCCGGAUUUACUGGGUGUAAAGGGAGCGUAGACGGUGCAGCAAGUCUGAUGUGAAAGGCCGGGGCCCAACCCCGGGACUGCAUUGGAAACUGUUGAGCUGGAGUACAGGAGAGGGAAGCGGAAUUCCUAGUGUAGCGGUGAAAUGCGUAGAGAUUAGGAGGAACACCAGUGGCGAAGGCGGCUCACUGGACUGUAACUGACGUUGAGGCUCGAAAGCGUGGGGAGCAAACAGGAUUAGAUACCCUUGUAGUC
rnacentral:rRNA from 1 species